UUUCUCUCUAUCGUUUGUAUCUAGGUUGUAUUGCUACGACUGGUUUGUUCAGGGAGCAUAUUCCUCUAUUUAGACUUCUGUUUCCGCCAUUUCAGAAGUAUAUUACAGUUCUGCGACAGAUGAUAGUCCUGAAAGAGUUUGUGUUUGCUGUACAAGUUUUAUCAAAAUGUUGUAUAAAUCUGCUUGAACUGAGAGGCAUCCGGAUGAUUUCUAUCCAUUAUUGAAACUGAAAAUGGUGAUGAGGCAUGUCGAAAAGCAGAUCCCCCAGGAUCCUCAUUGGAGAUUCUGUUACUCCAUGCUCCACAAGAUUUCUCGUAGUUUUGCUCUCGCGAUUCAGCAGCUUGAUAAUGAGCUCCGUAACGCUUCUGUUAUUUCUUGAAAAGGCAGAACAAUUGGCUAAAGAUCUUGAAUUAUUCGCGCAGCAUGCUGGUUGUAAAUCUGUGAAUAUGGAAGCUGUAAUCCUUACUGAUUGAUGCCGCUUUGCCGGAGUUAUUUACAGAGUAUAUGGUGGAUAUGAAAUGUGAGGGAUGUGUAAAAGCAGUCAAGAGUAAAUUAGAGUUCAUUGAAGGUGUAAAGAAUGUUGAAGUUGAUUUAAGUAAUCAAGUUGUUAGGGUUUUUGGAUCUUCACCUGUGAAGAUUAUGACAGAAGCUCUUGAACAGACUGGUCGAAAGGCUCGGCUAAUUGGUCAAGGAAUUCCUGAAGGUAUGUUCCUGUUUUGUAUAUAAUUAUGCAGCUGGAUGUAUGGCCUGAUCAAUUUAUUGCUUACAUUUUACUGUUUAUGGAUCGAUUCAUUUUCUGCUCAUAAUUUUGUGUAAGCACGAAUGGAGUAUGUUUAGACGAACACGAAUUAGACCCAAUAGCAUUGAAGAGUUGUGGCUUGAACAUGUAGCCUUAUUG